CCCUAAAUACUGAUUUCUUUCCUGUGUGUAUUUCUACCAUCUUCUUUGUUCACUGGUCAUAGCACGGAUUCUUUCAGAUGAAGGCCAGUGCCUGCCAUGCAAAGCCAAGCACUUACUUUUAGCUGCAACACAACGCAUGUUUGUCAGUCUUGAGCACUCUGCAAAACUGACCAACAUUUCUUUUAUUUUACAAUUUUUCCCUUGCUUCUCAGGUUGGCCUCUGCACGCUGCAUGUGAACAGUUCGGUAAAUAUAAGUGGUCACAGCGUCGAGUUUAACCAGUCUUAUCAAAGCAUGGCAAUUGUCGAGCCUAACAAUCAAAUUUAUAGCUUCUGUUAAAUCAGUAUAGUAUCUAUUUAUACUUGUUUUUUGCUGAUGCUAUUGCAUGAGUACUGAAUUUUUGGAGAAAGUUAAGCAUGAUUCCAGUUAUAGUCCAGUUACAGUCCAUAUGCACCGUAGUUACAGUUGUAACUUUUGUUAUUUCUCACUGUAACUGAAUGUAGGUAGUUAGAUUAUUUUUGUUUACUACAUGUGUCAUGACUAAUUUUUUUAUAUAUAAAUUUGUGCUAGAUGAAAUUUUCUACGAAGAUCCUGGUCAAAAAAAAAAAAUUCUACGAAGAUCACAUAUGAUGCAUAAUAAUAGGUGCUGUUUAGGCAGAAGCUGAGUUUCAUGGUGGCAUUUCAAGCUCAACAUAUGAGAUGUGCUCGUUUGAUCAAAUCGGUUGUUAAAGGUAUUAGAGCAAAUAUCACUGAUUGAUACAUGUCUUCUCUGCAGUGAUUUCUGACAGAUGUUUUCUCCUUGAAUGAGCUUGUAAAAUUCUUUACCAAUUUUUGUGAGAUUCCAUUUUGUUCUCUCUAUGCACACAUGCCACAAUGAAAAAUGUUAAUGAAGUUCUGAGUUAGUAA